CGCGCCUCUCCGCUCAUUGCUGGCCCUCCUGACCCGGUCCCCACACGCUGUCGGCGACGAGAUCUGUGGAGAUCCGCCUGCUGCGAAGUUCUCUGCCAUCGGAUGUGGUCAAUACACGUAAACCUCUGCGCGGCCGAUGUCGGAUGUCUAGCGAGCCAAGCCCUCUCCGAGAAGUUCUGGAUCUCAGCCCUGCAGAGGGACCGCUUCUCACCCGGGUGAUGCCCACUCCCUGUAUCUGCUGUGCCUGCGUUCUAUUCAUGAGGAGCUCCCUACGCCUACGCAACAGAGGAGGGAGAAUCAGUCUGUCAUUCCCAGGGGGCUUUGUGCAAUAGCUGCCGUCACAUGGAGGAGGCUGACCUUGACAGACUGCAUCAUCCGGACUCCCUCACCUUCCGGCUUCUAGUUGGAUGUGGCCAGUGGAAGCGCUGCAGGACA